rnacentral:rRNA from 1 species
GACGAACGCUGGCGGCGUGCUUAACACAUGCAAGUCGAACGGAAAGGCCCUGCUUUUGUGGGGUGCUCGAGUGGCGAACGGGUGAGUAACACGUGAGUAACCUGCCCUUGACUUUGGGAUAACUUCAGGAAACUGGGGGUAAUACCGGAUAGGAGCUCCUGCUGUAUGGUGGGGGUUGGAAAGUUUCGGCGGUUGGGGAUGGACUCGCGGCUUAUCAGCUUGUUGGUGGGGUAGUGGCUUACCAAGGCUUUGACGGGUAGCCGGCCUGAGAGGGUGACCGGCCACAAUGGGACUGAGGUACGGCCCAGACGCCUACGGGAGGCAACAGGGGGAAAUAUUGCACAAUGGGCGGAAGCCUGAUGAGGAAACGCCGCGUGCGGGAUGACGGCCUUCGGGUUGUAAACCGCUUUCGCCUAUGACGAAGCGUGAGUGACGGUAAUGGAUGAAGAAGCACCGGCUAACUACGUG